rnacentral:rRNA from 1 species
UACGUAGUGUGCAAGCGUUAUCCGGAAUUAUUGGGCGUAAAGAGCUCGUAGGCGGUUUGUCGCGUCUGCUGUGAAAACUGGAGGCUCAACCUCCAGCCUGCAGUGGGUACGGGCAGACUAGAGUGCGGUAGGGGAGAUUGGAAUUCCUGGUGUAGCGGUGAAAUGCGCAGAUAUCAGGAGGAACACCGGUGGCGAAGGCAGGUUCUUGGACAGAAGGUGACGCUGAGGCGCGAAAGUGUGGGGAGCAAACCGG